AUGAAAUCUUGCCAUUUGUGACAACAUGGAUGGACCUUGAGGUUGUUAUGCUAAGUGAAGUAAGUUUGAGGGAAAAAGUCAAAUGCCAUAUUAUCUCACUCACAAACAGAUGAUUAAAAACAACAACAAUCACAUAGAGACAGAGAUUGGAUUGGUGGUUCCCAGAGAGGGAGGGGAGAGGGCGAAAGGGGUGAUUAGGCACAUGUGUAUGGUGAUGGAUUGUAAUUAGUCUUUGGGCGGUGAAAAUGAUGUAAUCUACAGAAAUUGACAUAUAAUGAUGUACACCUGAAAUUUACAUAAUGUUAUAAACCAACGUUACCGUAAUAAAAAAUAAAAUAAAAUAAAGAAGGCAGAGUAUCACAGUGUUCAGCCUCAGCUGGAAACGUAAGCAUCAGUCAACUCAAAGUUUUCACCACAGUGCCCAUGUCCACAACCUACAGUGGAAGUGACACAAGUACUGAUUUUGAAGUUAUAAAUAAAUUGCAGCAAGUAGGCAAAUUCACAAAGAUAGAAUCUGAAAAUAAUGAGAAUCGACUGUAAUAAGGGGGGGAAUGGGAAAUUCUUCAGGGUAGAAUACCAAUGAAAUAAUGGACUCAUAAAAUCAGUAAUGGAUAUUUAAACUAAUGUACAAAAGUUUCAUGAGAAAUAUUCAGGGGGCCAUGUUGAGGCGGUGUCCCACAUCCCACAACUAGAAGGACCUGCAACUAAGAUAUACAACUAUGUACUGGGGGCGGUUGGGAAAUAAAGCAGAAAAAAAAAGAUUGGCAACAGUUGUUAGCUCAGGUGCCAAUCCUUAAAAAAAAAAAAAGAAAUAUUCACAUUUUGUCAUAGAGUUUUCUGCAAAAGUUAUGCAUUCACUAUACAAGGGGAAGAAACUGACUUUCAUAGUAGAAAAACCCGGUGGAUAUAGGUUAAACAAUGACUAAAGUGAACAUCACCAACAUCAGUACAAAGCAACAUCAUGGGCCUCAUGGUAUGAUGAACUAAAACAAAACAUCGCUUUAUCACAUUCCCUCAAAGAUUGCAAAGCUGCAUCCAAUCAAAGAGGAAACUUCAGGAAAAAACCCAAACUGAAAGAUAUUUUACAAAACAACUGAUCUACACUCUUUAAAGUUAAGGUCAAAAAAGACAAAGGAAGACAAAUUAAAGGAGACUAAAGAGAUAUGACAAUUAAAUAUAAUACAUAAUCUUGGACUGGCCUCUGGACUGGAAAAAUAAAAACAGCUAAAAAAGAUAUUAUUGGGAAAAUUCAGAAAUUUGAAUUGGACAUGGAUUACAUAAAGAAUCAAUGUUAAUUUCCUGAUUUUGAUAAUUAUACUGUAAUUAUGUAAGAAAAUGUCCUUGUAUUUAGGAAAUAAACAAUAAAG
rnacentral:lncRNA from 1 species